CAGCAGCCACGGGAAUACGAAGGGGGCUAGCGUUGCUCGGAAUGACUGGGCGUAAAGGGCGCGUAGGCGGAUUGUUUAGUUAGGCGUGAAAUUCCUGGGCUUAACCUGGGGACUGCGCUUAAUACAGGCAGUCUAGAGUGAGGAAGAGGGUUGUGGAAUUCCCAGUGUAGAGGUGAAAUUCGUAGAAAUUGGAAAGAACACCGGUGGCGAAGGCGGCGACCUGGUCUUUAACUGACGCUGAGGCGCGAAAGCGUGGGGAGCAAACAGGAUUAGAUACCCGUGUAGUCCCUGUCUCUUAUAC
rnacentral:rRNA from 1 species